AGUCCUUCACCGAGAUUCUUCCACAGGGCUUUGUCGGGGUGCUGAAGCUGCCGCCUGUGUUCUGCUGAUCUGGGACCAGCUGUUGAUGCAAGACUGGGACCCCCGCGUGAUGCACGAUUUUUGUGCCUCCGCCUUUCUGCUGUUGAAGGAUUCGUUUCUGGCAGCUGAGGACCACCAAGCGAUUUGAGAGGUGUUUCUGUCUUGCGCUUCCCGUCUUCUUACACCUGAUAUUCAGAGGGCUUGGAUUCACUUGCAGCAGGGAGGGUCGCCUGCUGACAUUCCCGGGUUUAACAGGCUGAACCAGAGGCCGCUUGUGGAUCUCUCCCCUCCGAGGCACUGCUGAGCAUUAGCUUGGAGGACGCAUUUGAGUGCUACGGAGGUCGCACCAACCGGAGUGAAGGAUAUUUUAUUGACAAUAGCUUUACCAGAUCCUCAGGCUGAGGCAGUAGACCCUAACCGUUUGCACUUGACUCUGUGGAUUUGACGACGUUCCUCGAUGUGCCGGCCUCAAAAUCGUACUUUUUGCUGGAAGUCACGCGCAACCCCGAGGGAAAUGAUUCUGCCGAGGGCUGUUCCACUCUCCAGCUGACGGUGUAUGACAUGGUCAGGCAAAGGCUGAACCUGGCAAGCAGCCCAGAGAGGAACGAAAGGGUUCAAGGAUCCCCCUUCCUCUAUCCUCUGUGGGUCCCGCACGAUCCUAGUUUUGCAUUGCCAGGUCCUCCAAAGACAGACCAGCCCUUUGAUCUCUAUAUUGAUGCCCUGCAUUAUAUACCCAAUAAUGCCACGAUUGCCAAGGUAACAGGGCAGUUCAAGGAUUCGGGCUUAAGCCAUUUGCCACCUAUCGUAGCCUUCCCUGUUCUCCAGAGUCCAGCUCGAAAUCCUGAAUUCCGGUAUUGAGUUGCAAUCAACGAAGGCCGUUCCAGCAACACUCGGCUUGUCUUUCACGUGCAUACAAUUGAUGCUGAUUCCGGCGACCUCAUUCUGCUAGGAAGCUGCGUCAUGCCGGCCUUUAACGCUCAAGGUGAACUCAACGUGGGAGGGUUCCAGCUAAAACUGAGGGCCGGUUUGCUGACCGAUGGACUAUCGUCUCUUGCCCUGUCUUCCCCGGAGCAGCCCACGACCGUCCCUUGCUGUACUCUGCUGAUCCGACUCCUACCCCAU